rnacentral:rRNA from 1 species
AGAGUUUGAUCCUGGCUCAGAACGAACGCUGGCGGCGUGGAUAAGACAUGCAAGUCGGACGGGAUUACUUUUGGUAGCAAUACUAAGAGUGAUUCAGUGGCGAACGGGUGCGUAACACGUGGGCAAUCUGCCGUGAAGUGGGGGAUAGCUCGCCGAAAGGCGAAUUAAUACCGCAUGUGAUUAGAGAGGACAUCCUUUCGAAAUUAAAGUCGGGGCAACCUGACGCUUCUUGUGGGGCCCGCGGCCUAUCAGCUAGUUGGUGAGGUAACGGCUCACCAAGGCUUUGACGGGUAGCUGGUCUGAGAGGACGACCAGCCACACUGGGACUGAGACACGGCCCAGACACCUACGGGUGGCAGCAGUCGAGAAUUUUUGACAAUGGGGGAAACCCUGAUCGAGCGACGCCGCGUGGAGGAUGAAGGUCUUCGGAUCGUAAACUCCUGUCAUUGGGGAACAAGGUGCAUACGUUAACUGCGUGUGUAUUGAUAGUACCCGAAGAGGAAGGGACGGCUAACUCUGUGCCAGCAGCCGCGGUAAUACAGAGGUCCCAAGCGUUGUUCGGAUUCAUUGGGCGUAAAGGGUGCGUAGGCGGCGCGGUAAGUCGGGUGUGAAAUCUCGGAGCUUAACUCCGAAACUGCAUUCGAUACUGCCGUGCUUGAGGACUGGAGAGGAGACUGGAAUUUACGGUGUAGCGGUGAAAUGCGUAGAUAUCGUAAGGAAGACCAGUGGCGAAGGCGGGUCUCUGGACAGUUCCUGACGCUGAGGCACGAAGGCCAGGGGAGCAAACGGGAUUAGAUACCCCGGUAGUCC